GGUUUAGUAGUCAAUUAUGAUUUUAAAUUGCAAAUUUAAAGGUAAAGUUUGGUCUUUUUAAGCCU
rnacentral:tRNA from 1 species